rnacentral:rRNA from 1 species
CGUCGUUAUUCGGCGAUCGUCCGGCCCUGACAGGGGUGCCGCGUAUGGGAGGACUCCAGAGGUACGGACGGGGCCGUUUAAGUUCGCUAUUGAAAGUAUGCUCGCUGGCCAGAGAGGGUGUGAGCCCCGUACUGGCGGUCACCGUACCGGCCUCACGGAGAUCUCUCUAGAGUCGGGUUGCUCGGUAAUGCAGCCCUAAGAAAGGUGGUAAACUCCAUCUAAGGCUAAAUACGACCACGAGACCGAUAGAGAACAAGUACCCCGAGGGAAAGUUGAAAAGGACUUUGAAGAGAGAGUUCAAUAGAGCGUGAAACCGUUGCGAGCUUACAAAACGGAUGGGC